rnacentral:rRNA from 1 species
UAGGGAAUCUUCGGCAAUGGACGAAAGUCUGACCGAGCAACGCCGCGUGAGUGAAGAAGGUUUUCGGAUCGUAAAACUCUGUUGUUAGAGAAGAACAAGGACGUUAGUAACUGAACGUCCCCUGACGGUAUCUAACCAGAAAGCCACGGCUAACUACGUGCCAGCAGCCGCGGUAAUACGUAGGGGGCAAGCGUUGUCCGGAUUUAGUGGGCGUAAAGCGAGCGCAGGCGGUUUCUUAAGUCUGAUGUGAAAGCCCCCGGCUCAACCGGGGAGGGUCAUUGGAAACUGGGAGACUUGAGUGCAGAAGAGGAGAGUGGAAUUCCAUGUGUAGCGGUGAAAUGCGUAGAUAUAUGGAGGAACACCAGUGGCGAAGGCGGCUCUCUGGUCUGUAACUGACGCUGAGGCUCGAAAGCGUGGGGAGCAAACAGG